UACGGAGGGUGCGAGCGUUGUCCGGAAUCACUGGGCGUAAAGGGCGCGUAGGCGGCGCGGGCAGUCAACGGUGAAAGCUCGGAGCUCAACUCCGAGUCGGCCGUCGAUACUCCCGUGCUUGAGCACUGUAGAGGCAGGUGGAAUUCCGGGUGUAGCGGUGGAAUGCGUAGAGGUCCGGAAGAACACCGGUGGCGAAGGCGGCCUGCUGGGCAGUAGCUGACGCUGAGGCGCGACAGCGUGGGGAGCAAACAGG
rnacentral:rRNA from 1 species